rnacentral:rRNA from 1 species
UAGGGAAUCUUCGGCAAUGGGGGCAACCCUGACCGAGCAACGCCGCGUGAGUGAAGAAGGUUUUCGGAUCGUAAAGCUCUGUUGUAAGAGAAGAACGUGUGUGAGAGUGUAAAGUUCACACAGUGACGGUAACUUACCAGAAAGGGACGGCUAACUACGUGCCAGCAGCCGCGGUAAUACGUAGGUCCCGAGCGUUGUCCGGAUUUAUUGGGCGUAAAGCGAGCGCAGGCGGUUUAAUAAGUCUGAAGUUAAAGGCAGUGGCUUAACCAGUGUUCGCUUUGGAAACUGUUAAACUUGAGUGCAGAAGGGGAGAGUGGAAUUCCAUGUGUAGCGGUGAAAUGCGUAGAUAUAUGGAGGAACACCGGUGGCGAAAGCGGCUCUCUGGUCUGUAACUGACGCUGAGGCUCGAAAGCGUGGGGAGCAAACAGG